rnacentral:rRNA from 1 species
UACAGAGGAUGCAAGCGUUAUCCGGAAUGAUUGGGCGUAAAGCGUCUGUAGGUGGCUUUUUAAGUCCGCCGUCAAAUCCCAGGGCUCAACUCUGGACAGGCGGUGGAAACUACCAAGCUGGAGUUCGGUAGGGGAGACUGGAAUUCCUGGUGUAGCGGUGAAAUGCGCAGAUAUCAGGAGGAACACCGGUGGCGAAGGCAGCUCGCUGGGACGGUACUGACGCUGAGACGCGAAAGCGUGGGGAGCAAACAGG